AGUGCAGCAGCAACAGCACAUGAUUGAGACGAUGAUGAUGAUGAUGAGGAGGAGACCAUCUCUCUGGAUUCCAGAAGGCAUGAGGUAUCAUGGUAAGACUGUGAAAGUACUAUUUACUCUACAAUGGUGAGGAGUCCUCAUCAAAAUCAAAAAAUCUAAUUUCUUUUACAGGACCCAGAUGCUAUACAGUGGGAAAACCAGCCUGGCAACAUAAGCUCACAAGCUAUCAGAAAGUUGUAUGGCAACCACCUCCGGCGCCAAAUAGAACUGGCAGACAUAGACAUUCAGUACAAGAAGAAAAAGAUGGAAAAUCUUGCACUGGAGUCCGAAAUAAAAAAGAGGACAAUUAGGAAACUGGACCUUGAAAUAAAAAAACUUGAGAGGGAGGUGAGAUAUGCCUUCAAUGUACACUGUAUGCUAACUGUAACACAAAUGUAUUAAUCAUUAUUUGUAUUUCCUCCCCCAGCUCCAAGAAGAUGACACAGCUCAAAAUAAAAAUUAACACAUAGUAGGAUACUCAUUACUUUGUGUGACAGGUUUCCCCAAUGUCAUUGGUGCAGUGGACUGCACACACAUAAGGAUAAAAGCCCCCUCAGGUGCCCAUGAGGCCGAUUUUGUGAAUAGGAAAUCCUUUCACAGCAUUAAUGUUCAGAUGGUCUGCAAUGCUGACUGUGUGAUCAGCAAUGUUGUGGCAAAAUGGCCUGGCUCAGUCCAUGACUCCAGAAUCUUUCGGGCCUCUGAAAUCUCAGUGCCUAUCACAAGGUGAAUUCUCUGGUGUGUUGCUGGGAGACAGGGGGUAUGGCUGCCAGCCUUUUCUCCUGACACCUUUCACAGACCCCCAGGAAGCACAGCAGGCCUACAACCAUGCCCAUGCCAGGACCAGGGCCAGAGUUGAAAUGACCUUUGGCCUCCUGAAGGCACGCUUUCACUGCCUUCACAAAUUAAGGGUCAGCCCUGUUAGGGCAUGUGAUAUUACUGUGGCUUGUGCUGUCCUCCACAAUGUGGCCUGCCUGAGGAAGGAGAGGGCCCCCAGAGUGCCACCAGCCAUGGACUGGGACAAUCCGGCAAUCUUCCCUGAUGACGACAGUGGUCGGCUGCUGAGGGACCAAUAUGUGUUGAAUUAUUUUAGUUAGUAUGUGUGCUUUCAAUUUUGGUUAAAUAUGUCCUGCGGUGGCAGAGGAAUUUGGGUUUUUUUGGGUUCGUUUUUUACGAAUUUGGCCUCUUAUGAUGUUUGUGCGGUAUACUGUGUGUAAUCCAAGGCUGCAGGGAGGCUACUGCAUCCAUUCAUUUGUCUGUUCAGUUGAUGUGUAUGGAUUUGUCCUGCAUUUAUUUUAGUGUGCAGACAUGCAGGGUGUGUUAUAUAGAGACCUUUGAAUGUGUAUGUAUCAUUUUGUAUAAUAUGCUUGGAUUCUGUGCUUUCCAUCUUGUAGAGUCACUGUGACUUCAGUUUCGAAAGGAGCUGAUGGUUUACCUGCUUUGUUUUGUCCUUAUUCAAUAAAGGAACAUAAUGUUACACAUUGUGUUUUUAUAUUCAUAUGGAAUGUGUAUUUGUUUAUAUGACAGAGUACUAGGGCCACACUGAAGAAAAAGGAUAAAGUCAUACAUUUAUGAGGCUGGUUCUUUCUGCAGAAAAGCUACAUAUUGUUUUUACAGUUUUGAUACUUAUGACAAUGUGAUACUUAAUAUUCUGGCACAUCAGCAUGUCUUUGUUUAUGAAACCAUACUGAAGUACAAUUUCACGAAAUGCCCCGCAUCUGUCAUUUUAACAACUGUCCUCCUUUAAAACAACUGGUUACAAUAUUAUGACUUG